rnacentral:rRNA from 1 species
UACGUAGGCAGCAAGCGUUGUUCGGAGUUACUGGGCGUAAAGGGUGUGUAGGCGGUUGGAUAAGUGUGGUGUGAAAUCUCCCGGCCUAACUGGGAGGGUGCGCUACAAACUGUCUGACUAGAGUGUGGGAUGGGUAAGUGGAAUUCCUGGUGUAGCGGUGAAAUGCGUAGAUAUGCGGAGGAACACCGAUGGCGAAGGCAAUCCCCCUGGGCCUGUACUGACGCUCAUGCACGAAAGCGUGGGGAGCAAACAGG